GUGCUCACUUCGGCAGCACAUGUACUAAGGUUGGAACAACAUAGAGAACAUUAGCAUGUCCCCUGCACAAUGAUGACACGUUUGUAAAGUGUUGCCUAUUUUU